rnacentral:rRNA from 1 species
UGGGUAACCUGCCUGUAAGACUGGGAUAACUCCGGGAAACCGGGGCUAAUACCGGAUGCUUGUUUGAACCGCAUGGUUCAAACAUAAAAGGUGGCUUCGGCUACCACUUACAGAUGGACCCGCGGCGCAUUAGCUAGUUGGUGAGGUAAUGGCUCACCAAGGCAACGAUGCGUAGCCGACCUGAGAGGGUGAUCGGCCACACUGGGACUGAGACACGGCCCAGACUCCUACGGGAGGCAGCAGUAGGGAAUCUUCCGCAAUGGACGAAAGUCUGACGGAGCAACGCCGCGUGAGUGAUGAAGGUUUUCGGAUCGUAAAGCUCUGUUGUUAGGGAAGAACAAGUACCGUUCGAAUAGGGCGGUACCUUGACGGUACCUAACCAGAAAGCCACGGCUAACUACGUGCCAGCAGCCGCGGUAAUACGUAGGUGGCAAGCGUUGUCCGGAAUUAUUGGGCGUAAAGGGCUCGCAGGCGGUUCCUUAAGUCUGAUGUGAAAGCCCCCGGCUCAACCGGGGAGGGUCAUUGGAAACUGGGGAAUUGAGUGCAGAAGAGGAGAGUGAAUUCCACGUGUAGCGUGAAAUGCGUAGAGAUGUGGAGGAACACCAGUGGCGAAGGCGACUCUCUGGUCUGUAACUGACGCUGAGGAGCGAAAGCGCCCUGGUAGUCCACGCCGUAAACGAUGAGUGCUAAGUGUUAGGGGGUUUCCGCCCCUUAGUGCUGCAGCUAACGCAUUAAGCACUCCGCCUGGGGAGUACGGUCGCAAGACUGAAACUCAAAGGAAUUGACGGGGGCCCGCACAAGCGGUGGAGCAUGUGGUUUAAUUCGAAGCAACGCGAAGAACCUUACCAGGUCUUGACAUCCUCUGACAAUCCUAGAGAUAGGACGUCCCCUUCGGGGGCAGAGUGACAGGUGGUGCAUGGUUGUCGUCAGCUCGUGUCGUGAGAUGUUGGGUUAAGUCCCGCAACGAGCGCAACCCUUGAUCUUAGUUGCCAGCAUUCAGUUGGGCACUCUAAGGUGACUGCCGGUGACAAACCGGAGGAAGGUGGGGAUGACGUCAAAUCAUCAUGCCCCUUAUGACCUGGGCUACACACGUGCUACAAUGGACAGAACAAAGGGCAGCGAAACCGCGAGGUUAAGCCAAUCCCACAAAUCUGUUCUCAGUUCGGAUCGCAGUCUGCAACUCGACUGCGUGAAGCAGGAAUCGCUAGUAAUCGUGGAUCAGCAUGCCGCGGGGAACAAGUUACCCGUCCGUGUUCACCCCGCCC